rnacentral:rRNA from 1 species
AUGAACGCUGGCGGCGUGCCUAAUCCAUGCAAGUCGAGCGAACGGACGAGAAGCUUGCUUCUCUGAUGUUAGCGGCGGACGGGUGAGUAACACGUGGAUAACCUACCUAUAAGACUGGGAUAACUUCGGGAAACCGGAGCUAAUACCGGAUGAUAUUUUGAACCGCAUGGUUCAAAAGUGAAAGACGGUCUUGCUGUCACUUAUAGAUGGAUCCGCGCUGCAUUAGCUAGUUGGUAAGGUAACGGCUUACCAAGGCAACGAUGCAUAGCCGACCUGAGAGGGUGAUCGGCCACACUGGAACUGAGACACGGUCCAGACUCCUACGGGAGGCAGCAGUAGGGAAUCUUCCACAAUGGGCGAAAGCCUGACGGAGCAACGCCGCGUGAGUGAUGAAGGUCUUCGGAUCGUAAAACUCUGUUAUUAGGGAAGAACAUAUGUGUAAGUAACUGUGCACAUCUUGACGGUACCUAAUCAGAAAGCCACGGCUAACUACGUG